GAUUGCUCCAGGGACAUCAACCAUUGUAGGAUCAUCAUCACCAAUACCAGAAGGACAUCAGCCAUCGGUGGACCAACUUCGUCAAGGCAGAAGGAACUUCAAGUCUACAUCAAGGACCCUCCCGACACAUCAAGGACAUCAGCCAUCGACUUCGGGAUUGCUCCAGCGACAUCAACCAUUGUGGAAUCGUCAUCACCAAUACCAGAAGGACAUCAGCCAUCGGUGGACCAACUUCGUCAAGGCAGAAGGAACAUCAGGACCCUUCCGACACAUCAGGGACAUCAACCAUCGUGGGAUCACCUUCGGGGGGACCGUUUUUAACGGGUGCGAAUCCCUCCCAACGGUAAGAGCCAUCUUCCAAUGGCUAGAACCGCCUCCCAAUGGUAAGAAGUCCCUUCCAACGUCGAGGAUCAUCAUUCAUAGGUAAGACUUAUCCCUCUGCGAACAGGAACACCUUCCAGUUGCUUGAAGGUGAUCCUAUCUGCCGGAGUAUGGUACUUGUACCUUAUCUUCCGCAGAUGCGAUCAUCUUUAAGCAAUUUGAAUGUGAUUUCUGUUUGCAUAGGUGUAAGUCAAGCCUGUGAAUGACGAUCUAAGUCGUUGUAAGGCACUUCUAACCACUGGGAAGUAGUUCUUGGUCAUUGGAUGGUGGCUGUUACUACUUGGGAGGGCAUUCAAUCCUGCU